rnacentral:snoRNA from 1 species
UGCCUCUCAGGGUUGCACCUGGAGAGUUUCCAGGACUCUUACCAGUCUCAACUAUGGGAAGGAGAGUCAAGCAGAGGCAUAUCCAUUCCAUUCCUGGCUUGGGCAGUGGCUAGCGAGUGGAAGGCAAUCUGCUACAAGU